rnacentral:ncRNA from 1 species
UAUGAUAGAGGUGCAGGUUUCAAGAGUAUCCUUGUGCAGAGGCUGGGCAGUCGCAGAAGGAGAAAGGGGAAACUGCCGAAGAAGGGAAAUCCGCCCGGGAUUUUCCUUCUGGGACGCUGCAGAAUAUGCAGCGUACUGUCACAAUAUGUGGAGCGCUAUC